ACAUCUCGUCCCCGCCGCCGCCGCAUGGCUCUCCCCUUCCGUCGAGCUCUCGUCGCUGUCCUGCUUCUCCGCCUCGCCCUCGGCGAGGUAGCCGCUUCCCCCACCCGCGUCGUCCAUUGGCUGCACCGUCGGGUCACCGUCGUACCGGGUACGCCCAUUGGCUGAGCUGACGUGUGGCUUCUUGGAUGUGAGCUCCGAAGGCCAAGAAGGGCAGGCUGGAGAAGUCGAUGGUGGUGGACGCGAGUCGGGGAAGAACGUGGAGAGCGGGGCGAGGACCAGCUCCGGCGUGUUCCUUACCAAGAAGCAGGUGAGAAUCCCAACUCCCUCCUCCCUUGAUCGUGGGCUGGAGACAUGUUUGGGCGGUUGAUGGAUGAGUGUGGUCUGUGGAUGAUCUGAAGGCUUGUGCUGCGGGCGGAAACGUCAAAAGGGGGCCCUAUGAACUUUCGUACUUCCCGUUUUUGUGGAGAUCUGCGUGUGUUCAGGGCUUCAGGCCAUCAAUCUCGGCAACCCGUUUGUGAAUUGUCGGGAAACAUUUGUUCGGUUCUGACGGCUUGCUGUGGGGAAUUGGGGAUACUAGACUCUCUUUUAUCUGAAACAUUUUAGGGGUGGAAGAAUUUUCUGUCCUCUUGUUGGAGGUUCGAGAUUUCAUUCACUUGCAAAUUCGUUCCUGGGAAAGGCGACUUGUCACCCUUUUGUUUGAUCAUGUAUUAUUAAUGAACCACUGCAUUGAGAGCCCAUGUCCUUGAAGGGGAUAUGCAUACACUAUUUGGAUUAUGGAUUAUUUCAUCAAACUCAAGAGAAAUGGAUUAAUGAUUUUAUUCUGAUGCCAAAUUUUCUUUUGAGAGGCAGAUGACGCUGUUUGGAAUCUUGUUCCAAUUUUACAGAUGGUAUUGGUUACUGUGGAGGAAAUUAUUUUGUGACUAUUGUGAUUCUGGUGUAUAAGCUCAGUGCUAGGGAAUUCAGGGUUGUUUCCGUUGUCCUAAUAAAGACUACUGUACUAGAGCAAGGGUUAAAGAGCAGGAGCUUCAGGAUGAAGUCAUUGCAAGAAUAGAGGACAGGAUUGCUGCUUGGACCUUCCUUCCACCAGAACACGGAGAACCCAUUCAAGUACCACGCUAUAAGAAUGGUGAGAAGUACGAGCCGCACUUUGACUACUUCAGUGAUAAACAG